rnacentral:rRNA from 1 species
GGGGCUGGGCCGGCGGCUACCAUGCAGUCGAGCGGUAACAUUUCUAGCUUGCUAGAAGAUGACGAGCGGCGGACGGGUGAGUAAUGCUUGGGAACAUGCCUUUAGGUGGGGGACAACCAUUGGAAACGAUGGCUAAUACCGCAUAAUGUCUACGGACCAAAGGGGGCUUCGGCUCUCGCCUUUAGAUUGGCCCAAGUGGGAUUAGCUAGUUGGUGAGGUAAUGGCUCACCAAGGCGACGAUCCCUAGCUGGUUUGAGAGGAUGAUCAGCCACACUGGAACUGAGACACGGUCCAGACUCCUACGGGAGGCAGCAGUGGGGAAUAUUGCACAAUGGGCGCAAGCCUGAUGCAGCCAUGCCGCGUGUGUGAAGAAGGCCUUCGGGUUGUAAAGCACUUUCAGUUGUGAGGAAAGGUUAGUAGUUAAUACCUGCUAGCUGUGACGUUAGCAACAGAAGAAGCACCGGCUAACUCCGUGCCAGCAGCCGCGGUAAUACGGAGGGUGCGAGCGUUAAUCGGAAUUACUGGGCGUAAAGCGUACGCAGGCGGUUUGUUAAGCGAGAUGUGAAAGCCCCGGGCUCAACCUGGGAACUGCAUUUCGAACUGGCAAACUAGAGUGUGAUAGAGGGUGGUAGAAUUUCAGGUGUAGCGGUGAAAUGCGUAGAGAUCUGAAGGAAUACCGAUGGCGGAGGCAGCCACCUGGGUCACCCCUGACGCUCAUGUAUAAAGCGUGGGGAGCAAACGGGAUUAGAUACCCCGGUAGUCAGCGCCGUACACGAUGUCUACUAGGAGUUCGGUUUUCGGAACUUUCUCUCCAAGCUAACCGAUUUAGUGAAACGCUUGGGGAAUAGGGCCCCAAGGU